CCUGACCAUCAUUAGAUAGUUCAAUAGAAUCAUCAUAUGAUGAAUGAUAAUUUCAUCAUUCAGAGAGAACACCAGAUGGAUGGCGCCUGCAAUAUCAAUCUAAAAUAAUGGAUCCAUUAUCAUUUAUCUUAAUGGGAGGCUACGAUCUAGUUAUCCCCAUAACUAGCUUAUUUUAUAGAUCAAUAAUUUAGAAGAUUUGAUUAAUUUAUUUUAUA
rnacentral:lncRNA from 1 species